rnacentral:rRNA from 1 species
CAGCCGCCGCGGGAAUACAGAGGGUGCGAGCGUUAAUCGGAUUUACUGGGCGUAAAGCGUGCGUAGGCGGCUUCUUAAGUCGGAUGUGAAAUCCCUGAGCUUAACUUAGGAAUUGCAUUCGAUACUGGGAAGCUAGAGUAUGGGAGAGGAUGGUAGAAUUCCAGGUGUAGCGGUGAAAUUCGUAGAGAUCUGGAGGAAUACCGAUGGCGAAGGCAGCCAUCUGGCCUAAUACUGACGCUGAGGUACGAAAGCAUGGGGAGCAAACAGGAUUAGAUACCCCGGUAGUCCCUGUCUCUUAUAC